rnacentral:rRNA from 1 species
GGCAGCGGGGAGCAAGCUUGCUUGCUCUGCCGGCGACCGGCGCACGGGUGAGUAACACGUAUGCAACCUGCCCUCCGCAGGGGGAUAACCCGGAGAAAUCCGGACUAAUACCGCGUGGUACACUUGUGGGGCAUCCCACGGGUGUUAAAAGGAAGUGAUUCCGGCGGAGGAUGGGCAUGCGGCGCAUUAGCUGGUUGGCGGGGUAACGGCCCACCAAGGCGACGAUGCGUAGGGGUUCUGAGAGGAAGGUCCCCCACACUGGUACUGAGACACGGACCAGACUCCUACGGGAGGCAGCAGUGAGGAAUAUUGGUCAAUGGGCGGGAGCCUGAACCAGCCAAGUCGCGUGAGGGAAGACGGUCCUAUGGAUUGUAAACCUCUUUAGGCGGGGAGCAAUGCCGGGCACGCGUGCCCGGAGGGAGAGUACCCGCAGAAUAAGCAUCGGCUAACUCCGUGCCAGCAGCCGCGGUAAUACGGAGGAUGCGAGCGUUAUCCGGAUUUAUUGGGUUUAAAGGGUGCGUAGGCGGAUUUUUAAGUCAGCGGUAAAAUGUCCGGGCUCAACCCGGGCCGGCCGUUGAAACUGGGGAUCUUGAGUGGGCGAGAAGUAUGCGGAAUGCGUGGUGUAGCGGUGAAAUGCAUAGAUAUCACGCAGAACUCCGAUUGCGAAGGCAGCAUACCGGCGCCCGACUGACGCUGAGGCACGAAAGCGUGGGGAUCGAACAGGAUUAGAUACCCUGGUAGUCCACGCAGUAAACGAUGAAUGCUAGUUGUCCGGUUCUUUGGGACU